rnacentral:rRNA from 1 species
UACGAAGGGGGCGAGCGUUACUCGGAAUCACUGGGCGUAAAGGGAGCGUAGGCGGCGCGGUAAGUCAGAUGUGAAAUCCCGGGGCUCAACCCCGGAACUGCAUCCGAUACUGCCGUGCUUGAGGGUUGGAGAGGUAGCUGGAAUUAUCGGUGUAGCAGUGAAAUGCGUGGAUAUCGAUAGGAACACUCGUGGCGAAGGCGAGCUACUGGACAACAUCUGACGCUGAGGCCCGAAGGCCAGGGGAGCAAAAGGG